CAUAUACUCCCUCCGUUUGAAAUUACUUGUUAUAAAAAUGGAUGUAUCUACAAGUAAAAUACAUUUAGAUACAUUCAUUUCUUGGACGAGUAAUUCCGAACGGAGGGAGUACUAU
rfam:Triticum urartu cultivar G1812 contig110944, whole genome shotgun sequence.